CCCUUAGAUGUUCUGGGCUGCACGCGCGCUACACUGAAGCGUUCAACGAGUAUUCACCUUGCCCGGGAGGGUUGGGUAAUCUUUUGAAAACGCUUCGUGAUGGGGAUAGAUUAUUGCAAUUAUUAAUCUUCAACGAGGAAUUCCUAGUAAGCGCGAGUCAUCAGCUCGUGCUGAUUACGUCCCUGCCCUUUGUACACACCGCCCGUCGCUCCUACCGAUUGAAUGACUCGGUGAAAAAUUGGGACCGUGAAUUGGCUUGCUUCAUUGCGAAUCUUUUCGUGGGAACUCUUUUUAACCUCGCCAUUUAGAGGAAGGUGAANUCGUANCA
rnacentral:rRNA from 1 species